rnacentral:rRNA from 1 species
UACGAGGGGGGCAAGCGUUGUUCGGAAUUAUUGGGCGUAAAGGGCGCGUAGGCGGCUACGCACGUCCGUUGUGAAAUCGCCCGGCUCAACUGGGCGGGGUCAGCGGAUACGGUGUGGCUCGAGCAAGCUAGGGGGCAAUGGAAUUCCCGGUGUAGUGGUGGAAUGCGUAGAUAUCGGGAGGAACACCAGUGGCGAAGGCGGUUGCCUGGAGCUUUGCUGACGCUGAUGCGCGAAAGCGUGGGGAGCGAUCCGG